rnacentral:tRNA from 1 species
GGGGAUGUAGCUCAAAUGGUAGAGUGCUCGCUUUGCAUGCGAGAGGUACCGGGUUCGAUCCCCUGCAUCUCCA